GUCCACGCCCUAAACGAUGUCUACUAGUUGUCGGGUUUUAAUUAACUUGGUAACGCAGCUAACGCGUGAAGUAGACCGCCUGGGGAGUACUGUCGCAAGAUUAAAACUCAAAGGAAUUGACGGGGACCCGCACAAGCGGUGGAUGAUGUGGAUUAAUUCGAUGCAACGCGAAAACCUUACCUACCCUUGACAUGGACGGAAUCCUGAAGAGAUUUGGGCGUGCUCGAAAGAGAGCCGUUACACAGGUGCUGCAUGGCUGUCGU
rnacentral:rRNA from 1 species